UACGUAGGGAGCAAGCGUUGUUCGGAUUUACUGGGCGUAAAGGGCGCGUAGGCGGCGUGGUAAGUCAGCUGUGAAAUCUCCGAGCUUAACUCGGAACGGUCAGCUGAUACUGCUGUGCUAGAGUACAGAAGGGGCAAUCGGAAUUCUUGGUGUAGCGGUGAAAUGCGUAGAUAUCAAGAGGAACACCUGAGGCGAAGGCGGGUUGCUAGGCUGAUAUUGACGCUGAGGCGCGAAAGCUAGGGUAGCAAACGGG
rnacentral:rRNA from 1 species